AAGACUAUACUCGGGGGAUCAUUUCUAUAGUAUGUGACUAAGAAAUUGUGGCUGAAAGUGUAGCACGGAGGUAACCACGAGGAGGAGCUGGAGCGUUCUCUUCUGAGCGUGAAGCCGGCUUGUGGUGCUGCUUCUCAGCAGCUGUCACUUGCCAUUGAUGAUCGUUCUUCCCUCCCUUCGGGUUGGGUGAGAGGAAGGGAACGCAGGCUGAGUGGCU
ensembl:snoRNA